rnacentral:tRNA from 1 species
AGUCCCGUGGUCCAAUGGCGACGACACCUGUCUUACAAACAGGAAACGAUGGUUCGACUCCAUCCGGGACUA